AGGGUUUGAUCAUGGCUCAGAACGUACGCUGGCGGCACGCCUAACACAUGCAAGUCGAACGAAGUAGCAAUACUUAGUGGCAGACGGGUGAGUAACAUGUGGGUAUCUGCCCUUUGGCCUGGAAUAACACGAGGAAACUUGUGCUAAUACCGGAUAAGUCUUUACAGAGAAAGCUUUAUGCACCAUUGGAUGAGCCCGCACUUGAUUAGUUUGUUGGUAGGGUAAUGGCCUACCAAGACUGUGAUCAAUAGCUGAUUUGAGAGGAUGAUCAGCCACAUUGGGACUGAGACACGGCCCAAACUCCUACGGGAGGCAGCAGUGGGGAAUCUUGCACAAUGGAGGAAACUCUGAUGCAGCGAUGCCGCGUGAGUGAAGAAGGCCUUUGGGUUGUAAAGCUCUUUCGUCGGGGAAGAAAAUGACUGUACCCGAAUAAGAAGGUCCGGCUAACUUCGUGCCAGCAGCCGCGGUAAUACGAAGGGACCUAGCGUAGUUCGGUAUUACUGGGCCUAAAGAGUUCGUAGGUGGUUGAAAAAGUUGGUGGUGAAAUCCCAGAGCUUAACUCUGGAACUGCCAUCAAAACUUUUCAGCUAGAGUAUGAUAGAGGAAAGCAGAAUUUCUAGUGUAGAGGUGAAAUUCGUAGAUAUUAGAAAGAAUACCAAUUGCGAAGGCAGCUUUCUGGAUCAUUACUGACACUGAGGAACGAAAGCAUGGGUAGCGAAGAGGAUUAGAUACCCUCGUAGUCCAUGCCGUAAACGAUGUGUGUUAGACGUUGGAAAUUUAUUUUCAGUGUCGCAGCGAAAGCGAUAAACACACCGCCUGGGGAGUACGACCGCAAGGUUAAAACUCAAAUGAAUUGACGGGGACCCGCACAAGUAGUGGAGCAUGUGGUUUAAUUCGAAGAUACGCGCAGAACCUUACCAACACUUGACAUGUUCGUCGCGACUUUAAGAGAUUAAAGUUUUCGGUUCGGCCGGACGAAACACAGGUGCUGCAUGGCUGUCGUCAGCUCGUGUCGUGAGAUGUUGGGUUAAGUCCCGCAACGAGCGCAACCCUCACUUUUAGUUGCCAUCAUUAAGUUGGGCACUCUGAAAGAACUGCCAGUGAUAAGCUGGAGGAAGGUGGGGAUGACGUCAAGUCCUCAUGGCCCUUACGUGUUGGGCUACACACGUGCUACAAUGGUAUCUACAACAGGAAGCAAAACUGCGAAGUUAAGCAAAUCCUUAAAAGAUACCUCAGUUCGGAUUGCACUCUGCAACUCGAGUGCAUGAAGCUGGAAUUACUAGUAAUCGCGGAUCAGCGUGCCACGGUGAAUGCGUUCCCGGGUCUUGUACACACCGCCCGUCACACCAUGGGAGUUGGUUCUACCUUAAGGCAAGGUUUCAAACCCUUGACCACGGUAUAGUCAGCGACUGGGGUGAAGUCGUAACAAGGUAGCCGUA
rnacentral:rRNA from 1 species